rnacentral:rRNA from 1 species
GACGAACGCCGGCGGCGUGCUUAACACAUGCAAGUCGAACGAUGAAGCUAGAGCUUGCUCUGGUGAAUUAGUGGCGAACGGGUGAGUAACACGUGAGUAACCUGCCCCGAACUCUGGGAUAACUGCUGGAAACGGUAGCUAAUACUGGAUACGACCUACGAAGGCAUCUUCUGUAGUUGGAAAGAAUUUCGGUUCGGGAUGGACUCGCGGCCUAUCAGCUUGUUGGUGAGGUAAUGGCUCACCAAGGCGACGACGGGUAGCCGGCCUGAGAGGGUGACCGGCCACACUGGGACUGAGACACGGCCCAGACUCCUACGGGAGGCAGCAGUGGGGAAUAUUGCUCAAUGGGCGCAAGCCUGAUGCAGCAACGCCGCGUGAGGGAUGACGGCCUUCGGGUUGUAAACCUCUUUUAGUAGGGAAGAAGCGAAAGUGACGGUACCUGCAGAAAAAGCACCGGCUAACUACGUGCCAGCAGCCGCGGUAA